rnacentral:rRNA from 1 species
GAUGAACGCUGGCGGCGUGCCUAAUACAUGCAAGUCGAGCGAACAGACGAGGAGCUUGUUCCUCUGACGUUUUCGGCGGACGUGUGAGUAACACGUGGAUACUCUCCCUAUAAGACUGGGAUAACUUCGGAAAACUGGAGCUAAUACCGGAUAAUUUAUUGACCCGUAAGGUUCACUAGUGAAAGACGAUUUUGUUGUCACUUAUAGAUGGAUCCGUGCAGAAUUAGCUAGUUGGUAAGGUAACGGAUUACCAAGGCAACGUUGAGUAGCCGACGUGAGAGGGGAUGCGGCCACACGGGAACGGAGACAGGGUCCAGACUCCUAGGGAAGGCAGCGUUAGGGAUUCUUCCGCAAGGAGGGAAAGCCUGACGGGGCAACGCCGCGUAAUGGAUGAAGGUCUUCGGUUCGUAAGACUCUGUGAAUGGGAAAGAACAAUGUGGUAAUUAACAAUGCACGUCUUGACGGUACCUUAUCAGAAAGCGACGGCUAACUACGUG